rnacentral:lncRNA from 1 species
AUGAUAGAAAUUUUAUUUAUAAAUGAUCAUAUAUUCAUAGAUCGACCACCAAGUGCACUGAACAAAAAUUUGGGUUACCCUUUUACAUUUUAUGUGGUUUAUGUUUUUCAUGGUGAUGAGACCCGUCAAUGAGACCCUAGACGAGGGUAACCCUUUUAUUUAAGAAAAAUAACUUAGAUUUGAUAAAUAAAAAAUAAAGACGGUCACUGUUAUUUUAAACUAUCAAACUCGUGCUUAAAAACUAGUAAUGUUUCCUAUUUGAAUGUAACCUUAUUAUUUGAUUGAACAAUUUAGGGUGUGCAACUAUUUUGUUAGGUCCUAAUGUUUUUAUAUCUUAGGUAUAAAUUCACGUAAAAAUGUGUAGAUAAAAGGUUUAGAUUAGUUAGAACUAGCUAGUUCUGUAGUAUAAUCGUGUGUUGACCAAAGUAUAAUCUUAGUGAAUUGUCUAAGUUUGUAAAAAUUAAACGUAUAUUAAUCAUCAUGAUAGAGUAUAGACUUCGUUGCGGUAAAGGUUUGUCAUUUACAUAACUCAAAAAAAAUUAAACUUAUAUAAUUUUUGUUAGUCAACUUAAGCUGAAUGCAUCAAAAACAGCCUAAAAUAUAGAAAAAUACUAAUGUGACAUGUAGUAUGUUGGUCCAUUAGACCAAGUAGAACUUGAUCCAUUGUUCGAGCAUCCAUAUUUGAGUUUAAUAUAUUAUCCUUUUAUAUAUUUAUAUUAUUAUAUAAGCCUUAAAAAUGUGUAGAUAAAAGGUGUCUAAAAGAUACAU